rnacentral:rRNA from 1 species
UACGAAGGGUGCAAGCGUUAUCCGGAUUCACUGGGUUUAAAGGGUGCGUAGGUGGGUUGGUAAGUCAGUGGUGAAAUCUUCAAGCUUAACUUGGAACUGCCGUUGAUACUAUCAAUCUUGAAUGUUGUGGAGGUAAGCGGAAUAUGUCAUGUAGCGGUGAAAUGCUUAGAUAUGACAUAGAACACCGAUAGCGAAGGCAGCUUGCUACACAAAAAUUGACGCUGAGGCACGAAAGCGUGGGGAUCAAACCAGGAGUUAGAAAACCCCAGGU